AUUGUCCUUGUCAUGGGGUGAUUGGGGAAUUCAAUGAAUCUGUAGUGAGACUUUCCUGGCUGACACCAUUUCAACACAUUUGCACCUCCUGGAUAACAAGUUUGGGACCUGGUGCAAUUUUUGGAACC